rnacentral:rRNA from 1 species
AGAGUUUGAUCAUGGCUCAGGAUGAACGCUAGCGACAGGCUUAACACAUGCAAGUCGAGGGGGCAUCAUGAGGUAGCAAUACCUUGAUGGCGACCGGCGCACGGGUGAGUAACGCGUAUGCAACCUGCCCGAUACCGGGGGUAUAGCCCAUGGAAACGUGGAUUAACACCCCAUAGUACUUUUAUCCUGCCUGGGAUGGGAGUUAAAUGUUCAAGGUAUCGGAUGGGCAUGCGUCCUAUAGUAGUUGGCGGGGUAACAGCCCACAAGACGAUGAUAGGUAGGGGUUCUGGAGAGGAAGGUCCCCCANAUUGGAACUGAGACACGGUCCAAACUCCGUACGGGAGCA